rnacentral:rRNA from 1 species
AACGAACGCUGGCGGCAUGCCUAACACAUGCAAGUCGAACGAGACCUUCGGGUCUAGUGGCGCACGGGUGCGUAACGCGUGGGAACCUGCCCUUAGGUUCGGAAUAACUCCCCGAAAGGGGUGCUAAUACCGGAUAAUGUCUUCGGACCAAAGAUUUAUCGCCUUUGGAUGGGCCCGCGUUGGAUUAGCUAGUUGGUAGGGUAAAAGCCUACCAAGGCGACGAUCCAUAGCUGGUCUGAGAGGAUGAUCAGCCACACUGGGACUGAGACACGGCCCAGACUCCUACGGGAGGCAGCAGUGGGGAAUAUUGGACAAUGGGCGAAAGCCUGAUCCAGCAAUGCCGCGUGAGUGAUGAAGGUCUUAGGGUUGUAAAGCUCUUUUACCCGGGAUGAUAAUGACAGUACCGGGAGAAUAAGCUCCGGCUAACUCCGU